rnacentral:rRNA from 1 species
UACGUAGGUGGCAAGCGUUGUCCGGAUUUAUUGGGUUUAGAGGGUGCGUAGGCGGUCUAUUAAGUCAGUUGUGAAAUACGGCAGCUCAACUGUCGAGGUGCAAUUGAUACUGAUGGACUUGAGUACUGAUGAGGUAAGCGGAAUGGACGGUGUAGCGGUGAAAUGCUUAGAUAUCGUCCAGAACACCGAUAGCGAAGGCAGCUUACUAAGGAGUAACUGACGCUGAGGCACGAAAGUGUGGGGAUCAAACAGG